CCCAAAUUAAUAACCUUAACGUUUAUAAAACACGAAAGUUUCAGAUAUAAGUUAGUUUAGUUUAAGUUUUUAUAGGUGUUAUUUAUGUCUCUGACGUAGAUCGAUGGUAAAAUCAUGUUUGAUAUUUUCUUUUUCAUGUUGAUUUUCUUCACAACACAGGUUGGACUGGUGUUGCCACCUGGAGAUGGGUAGCCAACGAUGAAAACUGUGGAAUUUGUAGGAUGGCUUUUGAUGGAUGCUGUCCAGAUUGUAAAUUACCUGGAGAUGAUUGUCCAUUAGUUUGGGGAGAAUGUUCGCAUUGUUUCCACAUCCACUGUAUUGUUAAAUGGCUGAACUCCCAACAGGUCAACCAGCUGUGUCCAAUGUGUCGACAGGACUGGAAAUUCAAGAGUGACACCGAGGCCAUGGGAACGUGACAACAGUGGGAUCAGUGUGUUCCCAAUCUAGAUCUGUAUCAUCAAUGUGUUAACGUUGAACACUGUGUACAAUUUGAUGAACUUGUUCAUAUGAGGGGAGAAGUGGAAUGUGUUUUACAUUGGUAUCUUAUUCUUAACUUUGAGAAUUAUGCUGUUUUCCUGGUGCAUUUUGAUUUUGUAACAAUUUUACAUAUAAAUACAAUGAUUAAAAACUUGA